GGACCAAGUGGCUCACUGUAGGGUUUUAUUUUUGUGCCACUCCAAAACCCUUUAAUGUCCUAAGCUAACUACUGCGUUUUGUUUUUCUUCCUUUCUACUUCAUUCACGCCCACUGCUCGGUUCCCUUUUCAAAGUUUUUAUUUUUCCCCCACUUUUUUCUGUUUUAGAGUUACCCAACACUUGAUCGAGGACAUGGCGGCUGUCAAGGAAUUUGGAGUGUCUCAAUUCGUGCAGGGUACUUCUAGGCAAACUUUGUUUUUGAAGAAGAAGCCUCAUAGACAGAGAAAUCACAUGCUAUGGGGUACACUUUGGAAUAGGAAUUGGGCUCUGGGAUCAACUCGAAGAGCUUUGCAUUUAAGGUGUCAGGCUCAAGAAAAUCCCAGAGCUGUGGUUUCUGGGAGUGUGAGCUCUUCUGUGGAAGAACAACCUGGCUUGGUUCAGAAGCCUGCUUCAGAAGUUGAUCAUUUGUACCGAGUCCCAUUUAUGCAAGAAAGUGCAGCUGCCGAGCUUCUAAAGGAAGCUCAAGUGAAAAUAUCUAGUCAGAUUGUGGAAAUACAAACGGAGCAAUGCUAUAAUAUUGGCCUUAGUUCACACCUUUCCACUGGAAAAUUUUCAGUUCUUAAAUGGCUUCUUCAAGAAACUUUUGAGCCUGAGAAUCUUGGAACCGAGAGCUUUCUUGAGAAGAAGAGGAUGGAGGGUUUGAUUCCAAUUGUAGUUGAGGUUGGUCCCAGGUUGUCAUUUACCACAGCGUGGUCUACUAAUGCUGUAGCAAUUUGCCAAUCCUGUGGAUUGACAGAAGUGACUCGUUUGGAACGGUCAAGGAGGUACUUGUUAUUCACCACAAGUGAGCUGCAAGAUCAUCAAAUCAGUGAAUUUGCAUCUAUGGUGCAUGAUAGGAUGACCGAGUGUGUUUAUUCUCAGAAGCUAACAUCCUUUGAGACCAGUGUUGUUCCUGAGGAGAUUCGUUAUAUACCUGUUAUGGAGAAGGGACGAAAGGCAUUAGAAGAGAUUAAUUUGGAGAUGGGUUUCGCCUUUGAUGACCAUGAUUUGGAAUAUUACACCAAACUUUUCAGAGACAACAUAAAGCGCAACCCAACCAAUGUAGAGUUGUUUGAUAUUGCUCAAUCCAACAGUGAGCAUAGUAGACAUUGGUUUUUUACCGGAAAGAUUUUUAUUGAUGGGCAGCUUAUGGAUAAAACUCUAAUGCAGAUUGUGAAAAGUACUUUGCAGGCAAAUCCCAACAAUUCAGUUAUUGGCUUUAAGGAUAACUCAAGUGCAAUCAGGGGUUUCCCAGUGAAGCAGCUCCGCCCAGUUCGGCCUGGUUCAUCAUGUCCACUAGAAGUUGCAGUACGUGAGUUAGAUAUCUUGUUUACAGCUGAAACACAUAAUUUUCCGUGUGCAGUGGCACCUUAUCCUGGUGCAGAGACAGGUGCAGGAGGUCGCAUUAGGGAUACACAUGCUACAGGAAGAGGGUCCUUUGUUCAGGCAGCUACAGCUGGUUAUUGUGUUGGAAAUCUCAACACAUCAGGUUUUUAUGCUCCAUGGGAAGAUCCCUCCUUUACUUAUCCAUCAAAUUUGGCACCUCCUUUACAGAUUCUUAUAGAUUCUAGUAAUGGUGCAUCUGACUAUGGCAACAAAUUUGGAGAGCCAUUGAUUCAGGGUUUCUGUAGAACUUUUGGAAUGAGACUUCCUAGUGGGGAAAGGCGAGAAUGGUUGAAGCCAAUCAUGUUUAGUGCAGGCAUUGGACAGAUAGACCACCUUCAUAUAUCAAAGGGAGAUCCUGACAUUGGGAUGCUGGUUGUCAAGAUUGGAGGCCCAGCUUAUCGCAUUGGCAUGGGAGGUGGAGCAGCCUCAAGCAUGGUCAGUGGGCAGAAUGAUGCAGAGCUUGAUUUCAAUGCUGUGCAACGUGGGGAUGCUGAGAUGGCUCAAAAACUAUAUCGUCUUGUUCGUGCAUGUAUUGAGAUGGGGGAUAAAAAUCCAAUUAUUAGCAUUCAUGAUCAAGGUGCUGGUGGUAACUGCAAUGUUGUGAAGGAAAUUAUAUAUCCAAAGGGUGCUGAGAUAGAUGUCCGAGCAAUUGUGGUUGGUGAUCAUACGAUGUCUGUUCUAGAAAUUUGGGGAGCAGAGUAUCAGGAGCAAGAUGCAAUCUUGGUGAAGCCUGAAAGUCGUGAUCUCUUGGAAUCAAUCUGUAGCAGGGAAAAAGUUUCAAUGGCAGUUAUUGGAACUAUCAGCGGUGAUGGACGUGUUGUGUUGGUUGAUAGCUUGGCAACUCAGAAGAGUAUUUUGCAUGGACUUCCUCCACCUCCUCCUGCAGUUGAUCUUGAACUGGAGAAAGUCCUUGGUGACAUGCCCAAAAAAUCUUUUAAAUUUAAUCGGGUCGUCUAUGAGCGAGAGCCACUUGAUAUUGCACCUGGGAUUGCAGUGAUAGAUUCUCUAAAGAGGGUACUGAGUUUACCAUCCGUCUGUUCGAAACGCUUCUUAACUACAAAAGUUGAUAGGUGUGUCACUGGUCUGGUGGCACAACAACAAACCGUUGGCCCUUUGCAGAUCCCCCUUGCUGAUGUUGCUGUUACAGCUCAAACUUUUAAUGAUUUGACUGGAGGUGCUUGUGCCAUUGGAGAACAACCAAUCAAAGGCCUGUUAGAUCCCAAAGCAAUGGCUCGGUUGGCGGUUGGAGAAGCAUUAACAAAUCUUGUAUGGGCACAGGUCACUUCCCUUUCUGAUGUCAAGGCUAGUGGUAACUGGAUGUAUGCUGCCAAGCUUGAUGGGGAAGGAACUGACAUGUAUGAUGCUGCCAUAGCUUUAUCUGAAGCAAUGAUUGAACUUGGCAUUGCUAUCGAUGGAGGGAAAGACAGCCUUUCUAUGGCAGCCCAUGCUGAAAAAGAAGUUGUCAAGGCUCCCGGAAAUCUUGUCAUCAGUGUUUAUGUUACUUGUCCUGAUAUAACAAAAACAGUAACACCAGAUUUAAAACUCAAGGAUGAAGGUGUUUUGCUUCAUAUUGAUUUGUCAAGAGGUAAGAGGCGGUUAGGAGGAUCUGCUCUUGCCCAAGCAUUUGACCAAGUUGGGGAUGACUGUCCUGAUCUUGAUGAUGUUCCUUAUCUUAAAAAGGUAUUUGAAGGUGUUCAAGAUCUUCUUACUGAUGAACUGAUUUCUGCUGGUCAUGAUAUUAGUGAUGGUGGGCUUCUUGUCUGUGCAUUAGAGAUGGCAUUUGCUGGUAAUUGUGGACUUAGUUUGAACAUGUCAUCUCAAGGUAACAGUCUCUUCCAAACACUCUAUGCUGAAGAGCUUGGUUUAGUUCUUGAAGUAAGCAAGAAAAAUCUGGCUUUGGUAAUGGAUAAAUUAAACCAUGUGGGAGUUGCAGCUGAAAUCAUUGGUCAAGUAACAGCCAAUCCAUCUAUAGAAGUCAAGGUUGAUGGCGAGACUUGUUUAUCUGAAAAAACUAGUAUCCUUAGGGACAUGUGGGAGGAGACCAGUUUUCAACUUGAAAAGUUUCAAAGACUAGCAUCUUGUGUGGAUAUGGAGAAAGAAGGACUGAAACAUCGGUAUGAGCCCUCAUGGGAUCUGACCUAUCUUCCUGUUUUCACUGACAAAAACUUUUUGCUUGCAACUACAAAACCUAAAGUGGCUGUGAUUAGAGAAGAAGGGAGCAACGGAGAUAGAGAAAUGGCUGCAGCGUUUUAUGCUGCUGGUUUUGAGCCAUGGGAUAUUACUAUGUCAGACCUUCUCAAUGGAAAGAUUUCUUUGCAUGAGUUCCGUGGAAUUGUGUUUGUUGGUGGAUUUAGCUAUGCUGACGUGCUUGACUCCGCAAAAGGUUGGUCUGCUUGCAUAAAAUUUAAUGAACACGUUUUGCAACAAUUUCAGGAGUUUUACAAACGUCCAGACACUUUCAGUCUUGGUGUAUGCAAUGGGUGUCAGCUAAUGGCUUUGUUAGGGUGGGUACCUGGUCCUCAAAUUGGAGGUGUGCAUGGUGCUGGUGGUGACCUAUCUCAACCAAGGUUUAUUCAUAACAAGUCAGGGAGGUUUGAAUGCCGCUUUACAAGCGUGACCAUAAAGCCCUCACCGGCUAUAAUGUUCAGUGGCAUGGAGGGUAGCACAUUGGGUAUAUGGGCUGCUCAUGGUGAGGGAAGAGCUUAUUUUCCAGAUGAAGGUGUGUUUGACAGAAUAGUUCACUCUGACCUAGCUCCUGUAAGAUAUUGUGAUGAUGCUGGGAAUCCGACAGAGGCAUACCCUUUCAAUGUGAAUGGCUCUCCCUUAGGGGUAGCAGCUAUUUGUUCCCCAGAUGGGAGGCAUCUUGCCAUGAUGCCUCAUCCAGAGCGUUGCUUCUUAAUGUGGCAGUUCCCAUGGUACCCAAAGCACUGGCACGUGGAGAAGAAUGGGCCUAGUCCUUGGUUGCGCAUGUUCCAGAAUGCAAGAGAGUGGUGUUCUUGAAAUUAUAUAAUGUUGCUUUUCAUUUUCCCAUAAAGUGCUUUCCUCUUUUAGUUGAUGACUUUUCCAUCUUUCAUCAAUAAUGAAUUGACAGUUCAUGAGGAACACAACUUCUGUUCAGCUUUCAUCAUUGGGCGAUUAAAGUUCCAAACUUUGUAGCAAUCACCAUUUCUGUGAGUUCUUGGUGGGAAUCAGAAAGAUAUGACACUAUUGGUCUCAUUUACUGUUUUUUUUGUUGUAGCUGCCUACAAUUAUGGAAACUUAUUAUCAAUGUUAAAGUAAUCAAAGGGAUGUAAUGCCUAUGUUGUGUCUUAGGGAGCCUUUGCAUAAUCUAUAUACACCAAUUUUGGCAGGCAAUAUGACAUUGUAUAUGAACUCUGCUACAUGUUCUGAAAUUGAUGGAAACCCAUUUAGAUUAUUCCAUUCAAAGGAGUACCAACUUAAGCUAAGGUUAAGAAAAGGAAGUUGGAGAAGGACUUUUAGAAAGCUCUUUCUUGAUUUUCUUUCUCUAAGUCUUAGAAGGAUUCUUUUUAAUACUUAUAUGGUUGUUUUGUAGGGUCUAAUAAAGCUUGGAGACCAUGGUUGAGCCACCCAAAAAGCAUGUGAAGCCAAGGAAAGCAAAGGAGCUAAAAAGGGGAGAAAAAGAGAUUUCUAAUCUGUUUGGUGACUGUUUUGGAUGAUUUUGAUGGUGUUGUGAAGUCCUUUUGGAGCAUUCAAGUUACAGAAACCUUCCCCUACCAAGGUAGCCUCUUAGGAAGUGUAGAAGGAGCAGAAUUUGUGAUUUCAAAGGGGCGGUCCAGCAAGCAAACUUUGCACUUUCCAGCAGCAUAAAACACUGAAAAUUGCCAACUCAUAUAGCCAAAUUUUGAGAGACCAGUUCCAUACCAAAGUGAAGGAGAGAUUGAGUGUUUAGAACCUAAAAGAAACUUGCUAGAGCACCUUAAAACAGUUCAGAAGUGAGAUUUGAGUGGUUGCACCUAAAGCCAAAUAGCCUUGGCCGUGAGAAAUACUGCACUAUAUUCCAAUGCUGAAAAGUUCUAUUUCUUGAA